GGGUUGUGAGGUUAAGCGACUAAGCGUACACGGUGGAUGCCCUGGCAGUCAGAGGCGAUGAAGGACGUGCUAAUCUGCGAUAAGCGUCGGUAAGGUGAUAUGAACCGUUAUAACCGGCGAUUUCCGAAUGGGGAAACCCAGUGUGAUUCGUCACACUAUCAUUAACUGAAUCCAUAGGUUAAUGAGGCGAACCGGGGGAACUGAAACAUCUAAGUACCCCGAGGAAAAGAAAUCAACCGAGAUUCCCCCAGUAGCGGCGAGCGAACGGGGAGGAGCCCAGAGCCUGAAUCAGUGUGUGUGUUAGUGGAAGCGUCUGGAAAGGCGCGCGAUACAGGGUGACAGCCCCGUACACAAAAAUGCACAUGCUGUGAGCUCGAUGAGUAGGGCGGGACACGUGG
rnacentral:rRNA from 1 species